AGGGUUCGAUUCUGGCUCAGAUUGAACGCUGGCGGCAGGCCUAACACAUGCAAGUCGAACGGUAACAGGAAACAGCUUGCUGUUUCGCUGACGAGUGGCGGACGGGUGAGUAAUGUCUGGGAAACUGCCUGAUGGAGGGGGAUAACUACUGGAAACGGUAGCUAAUACCGCAUAACGUCGCAAGACCAAAGAGGGGGACCUUCGGGCCUCUUGCCAUCGGAUGUGCCCAGAUGGGAUUAGCUAGUAGGUGGGGUAACGGCUCACCUAGGCGACGAUCCCUAGCUGGUCUGAGAGGAUGACCAGCCACACUGGAACUGAGACACGGUCCAGACUCCUACGGGAGGCAGCAGUGGGGAAUAUUGCACAAUGGGCGCAAGCCUGAUGCAGCCAUGCCCGCGUGUAUGAAGAAGGCCUUCGGGUUGUAAAGUACUUUCAGCGGGGAGGAAGGGAGUAAAGUUAAUACCUUUGCUCAUUGACGUUACCCGCAGAAGAAGCACCGGCUAACUCCGUGCCAGCCGCCGC
rnacentral:rRNA from 1 species